GGAAGUACUUGCCUUAUGCAAGAGGAUAGCCUCGGGAAACUGGGAUUAAUACUCUAUAAAACUCUAGUACGGCAUCGUACAUGAGUCAAAACUCCGGUGGCAUAAGAUGAUCCCGCGUCCCAUUAGCUAGUUGGUGAGGGUAAUGGCCCACCAAGGCGACGAUGGGUAGCCGGCCUGAGAGGGUGAACGGCCACACUGGAACUGAGACACGGUCCAG
rnacentral:rRNA from 1 species